rnacentral:rRNA from 1 species
AUGGAUCCAGAGCUCCGGGAGUACCUCGACAAGCUCAGCGAGAGCCUUGCCAAAUUGUACGAAGAGACGCGCUCCGCACUCAAGACGCUGAUUCAGGGCCAAACCAGGAAGCUUGACGAGCUCUCCGACCCCAAGUCCGGCAUCAGCGAGCUCGAGGCCACCCACGACAACAUCGCCUAUGCACUCACACCGGCGGGGGAUACAUCCGGCAUCAUUCUCGAGCUCGCCGCUGCCUUGGCGGUGAGCGCCCAACCUCUCGAAAUUGAUGCUACGGGCAUCGCUGCACCGACGCAGGCAAGCUGUUCGAUGGAUGGCUUCAACCACAACGUCAGCGGAGACGACCCCAUGGUUGCGUGCCAGACCGCUUGGAGUACGCCUACGUCCCUCACUAUGUCGCUAGGGGACUCACGAACCCUGUUGACUGAGCCAACUCUCGUGCUCGAGCCCGACGCACUGACGCUUACCAAGUGCUCGACGGUGAACAUCAAGCAUGGUGACAACACUACCGACAACAUAAAGACUACUAUGGUGUCCCUACUACCAUCCAAGGCAGUCCUAGUGUGUGCUGAUAGCAAGUUCUUCGCUGGAGUGUGCAUGUUGUGGCCAUCAGAAUGGCAACCAUGGCCUCCACCUUUGCGGGUGUGGAUCACACACAAGGGACUCAUGUUCAGGCCAAGACCAUGGUCGUCGUUCGUGCGCAGUCAGGAAGACCGACAACUCAAUGAUGACCAUUCAUUAGAAUCUUUGUUUGGAUUCUUCAUUACUGGAGCUUUGGUGAGCAAAAUUUUGGGGCUCGCCCUUGGAGAUGAUACACCUAAUGGUGCGAACAGGGCAGAAUUCAUGUUUGGCGUUCAACUGAACUGUUGUGACCCGAUUAGUGGUUUCCUUCGUGAGAAGCAAUGGGAUCCUGAAGGUUUCUAUCCUAGUGCUUGGCAUUUCCAAUGGUGUAUGGUAUUGGUUAAAAGCAAGGGCAGACUAGAGGGGCUGCAUUCGGUGGAGCAGUGGUCACCACUCCAAGGUAUGCAUGGAAUGCCAUAUAUUGGAAGCCACGUGAGAUUGCUUACUGCUAUCAUAUCUUCUCUUACGUGA